CUUCCUUGGUCCAUGCAAGGCUCCGCAGACUUCCGGACAAGCAUGCUUCGACGACGACCAUGAGCUGUGCUUCUUCGAGCAAUGUGGAAGGAAAUACAGCGAGAUAAAGGCGCUGGCCCGUCGUAAUUGGAACCUACCAGACAGUCAUUACGACGAAGAUGCUGCCUGUGCAAAAUAUCCUUGAGGUGGCGUUCAUCUGCUCAAGAUUGCCUGGUCUUGUCGUGCACGUUACUUCGAUUCGACUAAGCGACUGCUGCCGCUGUCUUGUUUUCAAUAUUCCCUGCAUUGAGACACUGUUGCAGAACUGCUCAGAAUUGUGAACUAUGUGAUUCUAUAACACAUUGAUGCUCCUUUGCCA